UUCAACAACCCCAGACACGACCCUUUGUGUCUUCACUGUCUUCCACCACCCCCCUCUCUUCCCUCAGUUUCUCUUCCCUUUUCUUUUACCCUUUUGCAGUAGAUGAUCUGAUAACACAUGAACUCACUUUUUCUCGGUGUUUUUAUGGUAGUAAGAAUAGGAGUAUAUAUUUUCUUUACUGUUUUCUUUCUUUCUCUCUGCGUCUAUGAUAUAUGAAAGAUUUUGUUGACAAAUUAAAGUCGCUUUCUAAUCCCUCACUCUCAUGGCGAAAACGACCCUUCAUUUUCCCCUUAUGUGUAUUUAUACACUCUCCUUCUCUUCCUUAUUUAGUGCAACUCCCUUUUUUCCACCUAUUAUUCCUUCAAAUAAAUUUUUUCAUCUCAUUUCAUUCCCCUUUUUUUUUCUCUUAGCCAAACGUUGUUUAUCUUCUUCCCCUUUCUUUCUCUUUUAUCUGCUCUUCUUUUGUUUUGUUCUCAUAGUUCUAUUUAUUGCUGUGGAAGUGAAGUGACAUUCAGAAAACACUUGAAAUAAAUGGGAAAAUGAUAGCUUACCAAGCAUUAUUGGAGACUUAGGGUUUUCAUUAUUGAGCAGAUAAGUGUAGUUUCAGAUUGUUCUUCGAUCUAUUAUCUUUUAAUUAGCUGCUUAACAUUCAUUUGUUCAUAUUAAUUUCUGUCCAAGCUAGUUGAUCGAAUGCUAAUAAUGCUAUUUUCUAGUUUUUCUUUUUCCAGAUUACUUAUCUUUGUUCCUGUUUAUUUCAGAUUGAAGCAUCAUUAUGAUUCUGAAAUAAUUAUUUUUUCCUUUUCUCUCUAUUUUGUUAUUAGAACCACUGUACUUAUUAAAAUGGCAAAUUAAAGAUCUUUUUUUUCUUUGGUUGAUUUCUAGAAGUUUGUUAUCUAUUGUAGGGUUUGUUUUAAGAGUUGACUCUGCCCAGUUAACAGAUUGCAUUUGUAUAGUGAUUUUGUUUUCUAUCUUUUGAAAUAGUUACCAUAGGAUUUUGUCUUUUCUUCUGUAGUGCUUUUGAACCCAUGGUAAAUGUCUUUGACAUGUUUAAUUUUUUGUUUUUCAAAGAAAAAUAGCCACUUUGAGUAUCAUCUGAGGUUUCAGAUGUCAUAUGCUAUUAAAACUGAUGACUUUGGUUUGCCAUCAAUAGAGACCGCAAAAGGUCUACUGCUACUUUUCUUACUUUUGUGAUUCAUAAUCCCUCUCAUGAGACUUAGGAUUUGCCUGGGAAUUUGGGUAGUUGUUUUUUGCUGUACCUAUGUUAACUCUUAUAUAUCAAAUUGACCCAAUAAUGAGAAAUAUAAAUCUCCCUUUUAUGUGGAAAUUUUCAAGUUCACUGUUAAUAGGUUACUAAGAAUGUAUUUUAGUUCCCAGCUCUUCGGUCUUCAGCUAUUAUUCAAAACAUGAUUUAGGUUCUGUCCGUUGCAUUUGCGUUUCAUUUUCUUUCUAAAGUUCAAUGCAGACUGUUUUGCUUCUGUAAAGUGAAAAUCGGCUCAAAGUUCUAUCCUUUUACUCUCCGCAAUUUGAUUCUGAGACAUCAUGGUGAAUUGCCAGGUAUUACUGCAUACUUGUCAUAGUGAUUGAGUUUAUGAUAUGUCACAAUUUAUCCUUUUUUCCCAGUUGAAUAUAAGCUGUAUAAAAGUUAAAUGUUGGUACAUCAAAAUCUUUUAACCCUCUUCAGCUCAUGUUUUUAUGUAUGAUUUGGUGAAUGCUGCUAUUCAGUUGAAGAACUUGGUUAUUACUGGACUUGUAAUAGUUUUGUGCAUUAAGGAAUGGCCUAAGAGAGCUUCCUUCAGCCCACUCAUGGAGGAGAACUGGGGUUGAAUUAGCUGCCGACUCAUUCAUCCAACCACUCAGUAGAAAGGGAUAUAUUUUGUGCUACUGUGAUUGAGUGAAUGAUGCGGGAGAUAGUUUUCUAUUCCUCUCUUUCCUUGCUUGGACUGAAGGGAGCUCCUUUUUUCCAUUUUCUUCAUUUUCAUCUCUUCUUAUAACCUUGUACUAGUUCUCAAACAAUAAAAACCUAAUUUUCAAAAGAUUUCUCUCAUUCCCUUCUUCCCUCUGAUAAGCCAGCUGCCUCAACCCUUACCAUUGUGUCUGGUGUUGGGUUAUAACACAUUGUGGAGUUUUGCAAGAUAAGAUUUCAGGCACUUCUGCUUAUAAUUUUCUAAUGAUUGUCUCUAGCAUCUUAAUUAGUAGUAAAUGUUAUAAUAAAUAUGCGAUGACAAGUCUACUUCUGUUUCAUUCAGAUAUAACUCCAAGUAUGAAUUGCCAUGUUUUCCAUUUUCACUAGGCAGUUAGUUGACCCUUUGUCAGCACCCCCGGUCUCCACCACCAUUAUCGGUUAGGCAUACUUCUCCGUUUACUUCCAAAAAUUAGAGACCAGUCCAUGUGGCUGUAUUAUCAUGUCUUUGUACAGGUUUAUUGACAUUUAUAUCAUCUGUUUACUGUCUCAGCUAUGCAUGCAAUAUGUUUAUGUGUUCUGUUUAAACUGAUUGGAACUGGAACAUAGAUCCACCUACUUAGUUGCUGUAGAAAGCUCCUUUUCCGCUACAGAGAUGACUUUGAAGUUCACAUAUCUCUUACAUAAGUUAAGUCUUUGCUCUUUAGAGAGAUACUAUACAUGACCAUUACAAACUGAACCAACAGCUUUCUUGCAGUUUCUGAUUUGGGGAAUUAUUAAUGCAUAUACUAUUUUUUUGAUCAGUUAAAGAAAAACAAAUAGAAAAAACAGUAUAUGCAUUUGUAAAUGCUUGUUCCCCAAAACAGAAUGCAUAUAUAGUAGUAUCACACGUAUGUCAGUUUAAGUUGAGGUGAAAGCAGCUUCUUGCCCUUAAAAGUUUUCAAAUAUUUUGCAUGGCUGUGAGACUGAAGACAGCAAAACGUGAUGAGCACCAUGUUUUUCUCCAUUUUCCUAGGGCAAACUUGUAAUGAAGAUUACAUCAUUGAAAUGCAUUGGCUCCUUUUUUAAAUGGCAAGUGGUUUGUGGAAAGUACAAUUUCUAAUGUUAUAUAUGUAUUAAUGAAAUGUUUUAGUCCUUUUCCCUUGAACACUUGUACUAUAUUAAUAUGCUGAUAACUAGGUCAUGUUAUGUAAUCUGACAAUGUUAAAUGAUAUAGACUUGGUACCAAUUGAUUUUGCCAAUUAUGGAGGGGGGGACCUCAUGGUCCAAAUCCUGAUUAAGGUAAUCAGCUUUAGUUUGAGAUUAUUUUGCAUCAUUCUAUAGUGUUUUUAUAAGGUUGUGUCCGGCAUAAUUUGUCUAGGAAGUACCAAUAGAUUCUGUUUGUAGUGUGGUCCCCUACCCUUUUGGCACGCAGUUUUGAUGCCUUCAUUUUUGCUUUCUUUUGUAUGCAUUCUAAACCUAUUCUGUAUUAUAAUAUAAUAUGAUGCAUUAUUGAUCUCUCCUGUUCUCAGAGGAAGCCUAUUAGGUGUUCUUUUAAUUUACUAUUAUUUUUCUUUGUGAUCAUUCAUUGCCCUAUUCUACAUCCUAAAGGGUUCACAGCUUGCUUGUGUUCAAGGUUUAGUAAAAGAAGCUUGGAGGAAGAAAGGUGAGGAACUGAAAGAGAGAUAUAGAGAUGGACUGAGAAGCUGCACUUGCUGUGAUUCUGGUGGUCUGGGGCGGAGCUAGUGUGUUUUAUUACUGGUUCGGUAGGACUCAGUAGCUUUGUGCAAAACCUUAUACGUGUAUUAAAAAUUUAACUUAAUAUAUAUGAAUAAUUUAUCCAGAACUUAUUAAACUGCUUUUUUUUUAGAACUCAGAAUCCAUAAACUCAAAAUUUUGGCUAGUGUCCUGUUUUAUGAUGUCAUUAAAAAGAGAUAACAGCAGAAGAAUUUUUUGGCCUAAUCUUGAGAAUAGCACUCCAUUAGGUUCUGCUUAAGGUUGAGUGGUCCCUCCCCAACUCCACUUCUAUUCCCAUGCUCCUCUCCUGCACUAACUUCAAAGCAAAAGAAAUCAUUAUUUCUUUACAAUGUAUUGACAUUUCAAGAAUUUGUUGUAGUCUUGUGGAGAAGUUAAUAUUCUAGCUCAGCAUGCUUGAAUGUGUCGGUUAGUUGCUGUGAAGUUUGUUUGGUUAUUCCUGCUUUCAGUUUCAAUUUCCUCCACCCACAAACUGUUACUUCUGGC
rnacentral:lncRNA from 1 species